rnacentral:lncRNA from 1 species
CUAGGCAGAGAAUCUCUCAAAAUGGGAAAGCAAACAAAUUGCAUCUGCUCCAUCCAUUGUGUUCCCUUUUUGAAUUCCCCGAGAAUCUGAUCCAUCAAUUGUGUGUACCUCAUUCAUCAUGCAUAAAAAAAAAUAAAAAAAAUUCAAUCCAAUUCCACAUGCAACUCUCUCUCGCCGCAUACACUAAUCUAUCUGUCUCUUUCCCUUCCCUUCAGCUCUUAAAUUGAAUAAACAAGCACAAGUAGAAUCUACUAACUCUAGCAUGUUUUCCACCCACAAGUCAAAUAUCAACAAUAUUAGUGGCUCUUGAGUGCUUCAGCUGCACAAACUUUUGACUCUUUUUGAUUCUGCACUGAGGGGCGUUAAUUGAUUUAAGAAAAGUGAUACUACUGAACUCUUUUGAGUUUCAAGAGAUUGGUUCGUACAAAAACCAAAAACAAAUAAUUUGAACGUUUGGUGUUUGUUAAAUAAGGAAGUAAAGGAAACCAACAGACAACAGUACCAACUUAUUAGCAAAUGGAGAAAAAUAAACCAAUUGUUCAUAUGUACCUCACUUUGUGCUACUAACUGGAUCUUUU